rnacentral:rRNA from 1 species
GAUGAACGCUAGCGGCAGGCUUAAUACAUGCAAGUCGAGGGGCAGCAGGUCUGUAGCAAUACAGAUGCUGGCGACCGGCAAACGGGUGCGGAACACGUACAGAACCUUCCUUCGAGCGGGGAAUAGCCCAGAGAAAUUUGGAUUAAUACCCCAUAGUACAUUGAAGAGGCAUCUCUUUAAUAUUAAAGAUUUAUCACUUGAAGAUGGCUGUGCGGCNGAUUAGGUAGUUGGCGGGGUAACGGCCCACCAAGCCUACGAUCAGUAACUGGUGUGAGAGCACGACCAGUCACACGGGCACUGAGACACGGGCCCGACUCCUACGGGAGGCA